GUCGAAGUCGAGCUCAGUUCUCUCAAAAAUUUCAACAAGAUCCGUGUGCUCGGGGGCCUAUCGACUUGACAUGAGCAUGCCUAUUCUUGAACUUAAUAUACUUAUGCAUCUCAUGCCAGAAACUCCCACAUUGCACACGAGCUCCUGACAUGAAUGCACGGGGGCCUAUGAUGUGUACGAAAAUUAUAGCCCGACCCCGAACUUUCAAGCAUGGCCCGAGGUAAAUA
rnacentral:lncRNA from 1 species